GCAAUACUUUUGUAAUUACUCAGGGCUUUUGUUUCACACAUGCUCACAGUCACUGGAGAACACCACAGCUGUUUUAUUCUCUUCUAGAAAUGGACUUAUCAGGAGCUGUAGCCAGAGGACCUUGCAGCUGCAACAGUGAGCACUUUUCUGUACAUCUCAAGUGCUUUGCAAGAAGGUGUGUUAUUAGUGCACAAAAAGAGGUGUCAACGAUAUCAUCCAAGUCAUGUAUGAUUGGAAAUGGACAUGGGCAGGUCAUGUAGUGAGAUUGAGACAAUAAAUGGACACUCCAUUGGUAUAGUCCAAUUGGUAUCCACAAGAGGAUCCAAUUGGUAUACUCCAUUGGUAUCCACGAGAAGUAAAAAGAACACAAGAAAGGCCUCUAGCCCAUUAGGUGGAUCCUUUAUGGACAUGAGAAGCUCACAAAACAGGAUAGCAUGAAAAAGUUGCAAUCUGCAUGGGUGGUGAGACUAUUCGCAUCAGUGAAAUCAUGGAUCUUCCAAGCACCAUCUCAAGAUAUCCACAGAUCUCAAGAGGUCCAAUGAAACACUACAGCUUCCCCAGGACUACUGCUGGCUGGAGGUCCCCUCUACCACUGUUGAACAGCAUCCACAGAAAGGAGAUUGCUGGGAAAUGAACAAGUGUGCAUUCUAAAAGACAUAACACUACAAGUACAUUCUUCUUCCAAUCACCUCCUUUGUGCCACCUGCAUUUGGAAUGAAUGUGAAACCAAAAUGUGUAUGCCAGAUUCAUCAUUGCACCACCAUCAGGGAUAAAGGGAGAAACCUGCAUGUUCCCCAUUAAGGAUUGUUGUGGGUGGGAUUGGCCUUUGGCUCAGCCCUAAGAUCUUUCUUAGUUUGUACCCUAUUGCAAUGGCUCUCGUGGGUCAGUGGAGAAGUGCAAAAUCACCAGUGCAUAAAGUCACCCUAGUCAUGGCCUCUCAGCCAAAAAGUCCAUCUACUUUUUGAUGCUCUGUAUCACCACUACCUGCCCUCCUCUACCACAGAGAUAAUCAUCUUUCAGUGGUAUUAAAACAGAGCUCUGGUAUACCUGAAAUACUACCCCUGCCCUGUGUCCAUGGUUGAGAUAUGAAAAGAUACACAGGCCUGGUCUCAAUAAAAGAGAGGGAAGUGGUUAGAGUUCUCCAUGAAAGCCUCUUGCCUGUGAAUUCAUAUUUAUUUUGGUCCGAAAUACCCUGAAUUUAAAAAGAACACAAGAACAAGCAUACUGGGUCAGUCCAAAGGUCCAUCUAGCCUAGGAUCCUGUCUUCCAACAGUGGCCAAAAAGAUAAAGAGG